AAAUUGAAGAGUUUGAUCAUGGCUCAGAUUGAACGCUGGCGGCAGGCCUAACACAUGCAAGUCGAACGGUAACAGGAAGCAGCUUGCUGCUUUGCUGACGAGUGGCGGACGGGUGAGUAAUGUCUGGGAAACUGCCUGAUGGAGGGGGAUAACUACUGGAAACGGUGGCUAAUACCGCAUAACGUCGCAAGACCAAAGAGGGGGACCUUCGGGCCUCUUGCCAUCAGAUGUGCCCAGAUGGGAUUAGCUUGUUGGUGAGGUAACGGCUCACCAAGGCGACGAUCCC
rnacentral:rRNA from 2 species